UACGAAGGGGGCUAGCGUUGCUCGGAAUUACUGGGCGUAAAGGGCGCGUAGGCGGAUAUUUAAGUCGGGGGUGAAAGCCCAGGGCUCAACCCUGGAACAGCCUUCGAUACUGGAUAUCUUGAGUACGGGAGAGGUGUGUGGAACUCCGAGUGUAGAGGUGAAAUUCGUAGAUAUUCGGAAGAACACCAGUGGCGAAGGCGGCUCACUGGCCCGAUACUGACGCUGAGGCACGAAAGCGUGGGGAG
rnacentral:rRNA from 1 species